rnacentral:misc_RNA from 1 species
UGCACGGUGACGCGAUCGUGAUGGGUGGAAUCGCCGAUGGCGUGAUGCACCGCGCCGAUCAGCGCAGACCGGAACGGCAGGAUGCGGAUGCCGUCACUCGAGGGGCCUUCGGGAAACAGCACGACCGCAUCGCCGCCGAGCAGGCGAUCGCCCAUUGCGCGCGCCGCGUCGCCGGUCUUGUGGCGGCGUUCGCGCUCGACAAAAACCGUGCGCUGCAGUUUCGCCAACUGGCCGAACAGCGGCCAGUUCGCCACUUCGGAUUUUG